GAAUCUUGCGCAAUGGGCGAAAGCCUGCCGCAGCCAUGCCGCGUGGAUGAUGAAGGUCUUCGGAUUGUAAAAUUCUUUCACCGGGGACGAUAAUGACGUUACUCGGCGAAGAAGCCCCGUCUAACUCCGUGCCAGCAGCCGCGGUAAUACGAAGGGGGCGAGCGUUGCUCGGAAUUACUGGGCGUAAAGGGCGCGUAGGCGGAUCGUUAAGUCAGAGGUGAAAUCCCAGGGCUCAACCCUGGAACUGCCUUUGAUACUGGCGAUCUUGAGUAUGAGAGAGGUAUGUGGAACUCCGAGUGUAGAGGUGAAAUUCGUAGAUAUUCGGAAGAACACCAGUGGCGAAGGCGACAUACUGGCUCAUUACUGACGCUGAGGCGCGAAAGCGUGGGGAGCAAACAG
rnacentral:rRNA from 1 species